UACGUAGGGGGCUAGCGUUGUCCGGAUUUAUUGGGCGUAAAGAGCGUGUAGGCGGCCAGGUAGGUCUGCUGUGAAAACUCGAGGCUCAACCUCGAGCUGUCGGCGGAAACCAUCUGGCUAGAGUCCGGAAGAGGAGAGUGGAAUUCCUGGUGUAGCGGUGAAAUGCGUAGAUAUCGGGAGGAACACCUGUGGCGAAAGCGGCUCACUGGACCACAACUGACGCUGAGGCGCGAAAGCUAGGGGAGCAAACAGG
rnacentral:rRNA from 1 species